ensembl:lncRNA
AUGGCGUCCAACUUUGCGUACCCAACAAGCUAGCAUGUCAUCUCUAGUAAUAUACCUCAUUGUACGCAACAAGCUAGCCUACAUGGCUAACUGCUCAUGUUCUACAGUCUCAAAAUCACCACAGAAUCAGUGACUUCUCGUAUAUUUUCACUUGUUCUCAUAAUUAUUUAUUUAAAAAAAAAAAAAAAUAAAAAAGACAAUAAAUAAUUUUCACGGCGCACCGGAAGUGACGAAUGUGGUUUCUAACGGUCCAAAAACAAUGCUGUCGGUUGUAGUUUUCGUAGCUCUGCUGGGGAUUUUUGGUGGAUGUUCAGCAGGUCUGAACAUCACUGCUGAACCUGGACAGGAUGUCAUUCUAAGAUGUGAAGAUCCAGGAAACAACAAAAUCAUACUUUUAGAAUGGAGUAAGAAAGAUCUGGUGAAGAAAAAAAUGUUUGUGAUUAGAAAUGGACGACCACUUCCAGCAGAUCAGCAUGAAUCUUUCAAGAACCGAGUAUAUCUACUACAAAGUGACAUGAAGGAUGGAGAUCUGUCUGUGGUUCUGAAGAACGUGACGGUUAAUGAUACUGGAACUUAUGAGUGUAGAGUUCUACAACAAGAUGAUCCAUUAGGAUCUCCUCUGAAGCUGAUCUCCAGCAUCAACCUGCAGGUGUCUCCUCCAGGAAAAGACGAUGAAGAUGGAGUCAAAGAUGGAACCAGUCGUGGUCUUCUGGGUCUGAUAGUUCUGCCGGUUCUGGUUGUAGUUCUGGUUCUUGUUCUGUGGAUCUACAGGAAGAAAUCCAGAGGUUCUCCUGCAGAAUCCUCAGACAAACAGAUGGAUGAGCUGUGAACUUCAAAACCAGAGUGAGUGUGUAUUCGGAACCUUCAGCCUUAAAUGUACGGUGAACUAUACAGAACCACUUAUACAUUUACAAUCACUGAGAGACGUUUGGAUCAACAGAAGAUCUGCAGAUCAGGGAGGAUCAGUUUCUUCCAAACUCAUGUAAUACUGAACCCAGGUAUUAUGAAUAUAAGCCUUAAUAUGAGCACAGCCGAAAGGUCAAACCUUCAAGCCUUAAUAUAGAGACCACAGCCGGGUCAAAGGUCAAACCUUCAGGCCUUAAUACAGGAGACCAGGUCAAAGGUCACAGAGGGAAGAACAUCGACUGUAUGACAGAACUGGACUGAGUGACUUCCGGUUCCAACCAGAUGAAGUCAACCCAAUAUUUUUUUUUUUGUUGCUAUGUGGACGCCGCCAUGUUGGAGCCAGACGUCAUCAGUGAUUGGUUGGGCGAUAUGAGUCGGUGUUUCCAUGGUAACCUCUCUCUCCAAUCAGGAGGGAGCUGGAUGGAAUGCCUCAUCCUUUCCAGUUGAAAUCUGUCAAACGUUUUGAGCCUUUGGAGGCUCCGCCUACUUUUCCUGAGGCCUCUGAUUGGUCCGUUUAUGACUUAAAGAAACAAAGGAUCAUCAGUCAGACGUUCCAAAGGAAUCUGAUCCAGAAGGUUCAUUCUGACCAAUAGAACGACAGCAACAGCUGAUCGUUUCUGUAGAAGUCUGUGGGGUACUUCCUGUUUGGAACUCCAGGGGGAGGAGUCACUCAGUCCAGUUCUCUAGAUACAGUCAAUGGUUGAAACCAUAAAAGAUCAAAGCACCUGGAAAGCUCUGCCUUUAUGCUUUUAUUUGGAAAUUAUUUAUUUUUUUUACAUCAUUUUGAGUGUUUUACAUGUUACUGAAAGUGUUCUUCAUCAUUCAUGUUGGGGGAGGAGCUUCAUGGGGUCAUCUGAGGUCAAAGCUAAACCUCCAUUUAGAGCUGAAGCUUCACUGUCGUUCUCUACUGACAGCUCAGAUUCAGGGGGGGCGGGGCUACAGCACAUGAUUGACAUGUGGUGACAGAGGUCGUGAUGAUGUCACUUCCUCUGCAGAGCAGCGUCUGCUGUCGUGUUCCUGCAGAGGAAGAGAAGCAGAAACUGACCCUCAUUUGACCCCGUAGUGUUUCUGUACCGAGAUGUUCCUGCUGCUGGAGGAGAAAUGUUCUGAUCCAAAAACUCUUCUGAUUCUAAUAAAAACCUGUCUGAAGGAAGCUCUUCUGUCUGAGUUGAUCCAAGCUGGUGUUCUGCAGAACCUGCAGGUUCUGACCCGUCAGAGCGAUGUGGAGCAGCUGCUGGUUCCUGCAGGUUCUGACCCGUCAGAGUGAUGUGGAGCAGCUGCUGGUUCCUGCAGGUUCUGACCCGUCAGAGCGAUGUGGAGCAGCUGCUGGUUCCUGCAGGUUCUGCAGGUUCUGACCCGUCAGAGCGAUGUGGAGCAGCUGCUGGUCCUGCAGGUCUGAACAGCUCCUGCAUUCUUCUCUGGAGGCAGACGUGUCCUCUCUGCUGAUUGGUCGACUCAGACAUGUGACUGCAGGUCUGAGUGAAGCUGAAGACAGGUUCUGUUGGUGGGAAGUUCUAUGCUCUUUUUAUAAAUAAAGUUUGGUUUGAAUUGGGUCAGACGAGGUCUGUGUGUCUCCAGCUGGGAGAAAAGGGGAGGAGCCAAAGGCGUGUGAGGUCUGGCAGGUGUGAAGUCUCGUUCUUCUCUUGUUCCAGCAUGUUCUCUGACAGCUCCUCUCCUGUCUGACCUCUGGAGGCAGAACUGCCUCAGAUUCUGAUGAAGAUCACCAGAGUGAAGAUCAGCAGAGUGAAGAUCACCAGAGUGAAGAUCAGCAGAGUGAAGAUCAGCAGAGAUGAAGAUCACCAGAGUGAAGAUCAGCAGAGUGAAGAUCAGCAGAGUGAAGAUCAGCUGAUCCAACUGAAGCUGUUAUCAAUGAUCAUAAGUUCAUGUUUCUGGAUGAAGCUGAAGCUGCAGUUCUGUUUCCUCCAGCAGAGGGAGCUAUUGCUGAUGAUGAGAAUCAUCAGAUCAAUUCAUUAGAAACUUGAUUUACAUUUCACCAUGAAUGAAUUUUAAACUAGAACUUUAUUGAUCCAACAAAAGAGAAAUAAUUGUUUCUAAAGCUCUAUUAAAACAGA